AGUUCCACCGGGUCGACGGCGCGGGAGGCGAGCAGGUAGUCGCGCAGCACCAUCGAGUGCCGUGCCUC
rnacentral:sRNA from 1 species